rnacentral:rRNA from 1 species
CCACUUCGGUGGGGAUUAGUGGCGAACGGGUGAGUAACACGUGGGCAAUCUGCCCUGCACUCUGGGACAAGCCCUGGAAACGGGGUCUAAUACCGGAUACUGACCUUCACAGGCAUCUGUGAUGGUCGAAAGCUCCGGCGGUGCAGGAUGAGCCCGCGGCCUAUCAGCUUGUUGGUGAGGUAGUGGCUCACCAAGGCGACGACGGGUAGCCGGCCUGAGAGGGCGACCGGCCACACUGGGACUGAGACACGGCCCAGACUCCUACGGGAGGCAGCAGUGGGGAAUAUUGCACAAUGGGCGAAAGCCUGAUGCAGCGACGCCGCGUGAGGGAUGACGGCCUUCGGGUUGUAAACCUCUUUCAGCAGGGAAGAAGCGAAAGUGACGGUACCUGCAGAAGAAGCGCCGGCUAACUACGUGCCAGCAGCCGCGGUAAUACGUAGGGCGCGAGCGUUGUCCGGAAUUAUUGGGCGUAAAGAGCUCGUAGGCGGCUUGUCACGUCGGUUGUGAAAGCCCGGGGCUUAACCCCGGGUCUGCAGUCGAUACGGGCAGGCUAGAGUUCGGUAGGGGAGAUCGGAAUUCCUGGUGUAGCGGUGAAAUGCGCAGAUAUCAGGAGGAACACCGGUGGCGAAGGCGGAUCUCUGGGCCGAUACUGACGCUGAGGAGCGAAAGCGUGGGGAGCGAACAGGAUUAGAUACCCUGGUAGUCCACGCCGUAAACGGUGGGCACUAGGUGUGGGCAACAUUCC